rnacentral:rRNA from 1 species
UGUGCCUUCGGGAACCGUGAGACAGGUGCUGCAUGGCUGUCGUCAGCUCGUGUUGUGAAAUGUUGGGUUAAGUCCCGCAACGAGCGCAACCCUUAUCCUUUGUUGCCAGCGAUUCGGUCGGGAACUCAAAGGAGACUGCCAGUGAUAAACUGGAGGAAGGUGGGGAUGACGUCAAGUCAUCAUGGCCCUUACGACCAGGGCUACACACGUGCUACAAUGGCGCAUA